UCGAACCCUGCAAAGCAGAACGACCCGUGAACAUGUAACUACUACCGGACAACAUAGGGAUUGAGCUUUUGUUUGAUCCUUAGUUGCCUUUGUCGAUGUGUCUUCGAGACUCCUUAGGGAUGACAGGACGUCACAUUGGCAUACUAACCAACCCCGGCACGGAAUGUGCCAAGGAAAUUUAAACUUAAAGAAUGGAUGGUUUCAUGAUCUCCCGUUUUGCGGUGCGCUCAUGAAACUUAACUUCUUUGUAAUCACAAACGACUCUCGGCAACGGAUAUCUCGGCUCACGCAUCGAUGAAGAACGUAGCAAAAUGCGAUACUUGGUGUGAAUUGCAGAAUCCCGUGAACCAUCGAGUUUUUGAACGCAAGUUGCGCCCGAAGCCAUUUGGUUGAGGGCACGUCUGCCUGGGCGUCACGCAUCGUGUCGCCCCCCACCACUCCUCCCUUAGUGGAUGUUUGUUGUGGGGGCGGAGAUUGGUCUCCCGUUUCUUUGAUACGGUUGGCCAAAAUAGGAGUCCCCAUCGAUGGACGCACGACUAGUGGUGGUUGACAAAACCUUCGUCUUGCGUUGUGCGUCUUGAGUCGUACGGGAAGAUCUCUUUAAAGACCCCAAUGUGUUGUCUUUCGAUGACGCUUCGACCGCGA
rnacentral:misc_RNA from 1 species